GUAGCGGCGAGCGAACGGGGAGCAGCCCAGAGUCUGAAUCAGCUUGUGUGUUAGUGGAACGGUCUGGAAAGUCCGACGGUACAGGGUGAUAGUCCCGUACACCAAAAUGCACAGGCUGUGAACUCGAAGAGUAGGGCGGGACACGUGGUAUCCUGUCUGAAUAUGGGGGGACCAUCCUCCAAGGCUAAAUACUCCUGACUGACCGAUAGUGAACCAGUACCGUGAGGGAAAGGCGAAAAGAACCCCGGCGAGGGGAGUGAAAAAGAACCUGAAACCGUGUACGUACAAGCAGUGGGAGCACCUUCGGGUGUGACUGCGUACCUUUUGUAUAAUGGGUCAGCGACUUAUAUUCUGUAGCAAGGUUAACCGUAUAGGGGAGCCGCAGGGAAACCGAGUCUUAACUGGGCGUUAAGUUGCAGGGUAUAGACCCGAAACCCGGUGAUCUAGCCAUGGGCAGGUUGAAGGUUGGGUAACACUAACUGGAGGACCGAACCGACUAAUGUUGAAAAAUUAGCGGAUGACUUGUGGCUGGGGGUGAAAGGCCAAUCAAACCGGGAGAUAGCUGGUUCUCCCCGAAAGCUAUUUAGGUAGCGCCUCGUGAAUUCAUCUUCGGGGGUAGAGCACUGUUUCGGCUAGGGGGUCAUCCCGACUUACCAACCCGAUGCAAACUACGAAUACCGAAGAAUGUUAUCACGGGAGACACACGGCGGGUGCUAACGUCCGUCGUGAAGAGGGAAACAACCCAGACCGCCAGCUAAGGUCCCAAAGUCAUGGUUAAGUGGGAAACGAUGUGGGAAGGCACAGACAGCCAGGAUGUUGGCUUAGAAGCAGCCAUCAUUUAAAGAAAGCGUAAUAGCUCACUGGUCGAGUCGGCCUGCGCGGAAGAUGUAACGGGGCUAAACCAUG
rnacentral:rRNA from 1 species